UACAGAGGGGGCAAGCGUUGUUCGGAAUUACUGGGCGUAAAGGGCGCGUAGGCGGCCCGCUAAGUCGAACGUGAAAUCCCCCGGCUCAACCGGGGAACUGCGUCCGAUACUGGUGGGCUCGAAUCCGGGAGAGGGAUGUGGAAUUCCAGGUGUAGCGGUGAAAUGCGUAGAUAUCUGGAGGAACACCGGUGGCGAAGGCGGCAUCCUGGGCCGGUAUUGACGCUGAGGCGCGAAAGCCAGGGGAGCAAACGGG
rnacentral:rRNA from 1 species